UGACGAGUUUGAUCCUGGCUCAGAUUGAACGCUGGCGGAAUGCUUUACACAUGCAAGUCGAACGGUAGAGGGGGCAACCCCUCGAGAGUGGCGAACGGGUGAGUAAUAUAUCGGAACGUGCCCAGUCGUGGGGGAUAACGUAGCGAAAGUUACGCUAAGUACCGCAUACGAUCUAAGGAUGAAAGCGGGGAUCGCAAGACCUCGCGCGAUUUGGAGCGGCCGAUAUCAGAUUAGGUAGUUGGUGAGGUAAGGCU
rnacentral:rRNA from 1 species